GGAAACUGCUUGAUGUCCUCGCUGCUACUGCCGACUUCUCCACCUUCUAUGGGAUGCUGCUGGGCUAUGCCAAUGCCACCCAGCGAGGUCUUGACUUUAUGGACUUCCUCGAAGAUGAGCUCAUCUACAAGACACUCUUUGUUCCUGUCAAUGAAGGCUUUCUGGACAACAUGGUAAUAGGAGGGGCUUGGGCACCUUGCUCUCUCCAGCAGGCUCAACCCAACAGACCUUGCUCUCUGCUCGUAGACGCUGAGUGGCCCAGACCUAGAACUCCAUGCUUCUAAUGCCACCUUUCUGAGUGCCAAUGCCAGCCAGGGGACAUUGCUUCCUGCCCACUCAGGUCUUAGUCUCUUCAUAAGUGACACAGGUCCUGACAACAUUUCUUU
rnacentral:lncRNA from 1 species